GCAACUCUGGAGCGGUUGGGCGGGGGAAAGCAGAAUUCUGGGAGUUGUGGCCUGGCGGGGCGAGCAUUAUUCACCAUAGCCAAGAUCUAGAAACAACCUAAGGAGCCAUCAACAGAGAAAUGGAUAAAGAAAAUGUGAUAUGUAACAUAUAUAAAAUGGAAUAUUGAAGCCAUCCUCCCAGCUAAAGCCCAAGAAUUCCUGAUGAAGUAUCCAGUGAUCCUGAUCCAUGGGUUGUGCCUAGCUAAUUUAAAAAGAAAAGGAGGGUCACCUGUGUGGCUCA